rnacentral:rRNA from 1 species
UACGUAGGGUGCAGGCGUUAAUCGGAAUUACUGGGCGUAAAGCGUGCGCAGGCGGUUUGCUAAGACAGGUGUGAAAUCCCCGGGCUUAACCUGGGAACUGCGCUUGUAACUGGCAAGUUUGAGUGUGGCAGAGGGGGGUGGAAUUCCACGUGUAGCAGUGAAAUGCGUAGAGAUGUGGAGGAACACCGAUGGCGAAGGCAGCCCCCUGGGCUAACACUGACGCUCAUGCACGAAAGCGUGGGGAGCAAACAGG